CCUACGGGUGGCAGCAGUGGGGAAUAUUUGACAAUGGGGGGAACCCUUAUCCAGCGACGCCGCGUGAGUGAAGAAGUAUUUCGGUAUGUAAAGCUCUAUCAGCAGGGAAGAAAGAAAUGACGGUACCUGACUAAGAAGCCCCGGCUAACUACGUGCCAGCAGCCGCGGUAAUACGUAGGGGGCAAGCGUUAUCCGGAUUUACUGGGUGUAAAGGGAGCGUAGACGGUUACGCAAGUCUGGAGUGAAAGGCGGGGGCCCAACCCCCGGACUGCUUUGGACACUGUAUAACUGGAGUGCAGGAGAGGUAAGGGGAAUUCCUGGGGUAGCGGUGAAAUGCGUAGAUAUUAGGAGGAACACCAGUGGCGAAGGCGGCUUACUGGACUGUAACUGACGUUGAGGCUCGAAAGCGUGGGGAGCAAACAGGAUUAGAUACCCCAGUAGUC
rnacentral:rRNA from 1 species